rnacentral:lncRNA from 1 species
CCUUGUGGCAGGUUUCAUCAGGAAAGCCAACUAUUCGAAUUAGCUAGCAAAUGUUGUGAUAGUGAAAAAAGCUAAUGAAAAAUGAUGAAUCUGUAUCGACUAUACUAAUUUAAAUAAAGCAUAUCCGAUGGACAGUUUUUCUCUAUCAAAAAUUGAUCAAUUGGUCGAUGCAACAUCGGGUCCUAGACUCUUGAGCUUUAUGAAUGCUUUUUUGAAAUACAACC